UCAAGGGGGUUCGCCCCCAUCAAGAUAUCACCCUUGCCUUUUGAGUACCUUCUGUUUCCUCGGCGGGCUCGCCCGCCAACGGGGACCACAAACAAACCUUCUGUAGUUGCAGUAAACGUCUGAUUAAACAAAUAAAUCA
rnacentral:misc_RNA from 1 species